CCGGGAUGUUUAUGUAUUCAUGCCGAACAUGGGAUAACAGAGUAUAUGAGGAUAUAUAAUAUUAGUGAAGAAGAAAAUGACUGGUAUAGUACUUUCUUCUCUCAGUUCCUUCUCCACUAAUGCCCUUACACCUUUCUUUUUCAGGCUUUUUGUAGCAUCCUAAACAGAAGGAUAUUGAAGGGAGCUGAUUCUGCUUUGAUCCUUAUGCUUGUUGUCAAAGCGCUUGGGAUUGAAGAGACUGUUGGCUACAAUUGACUGUGACAAUUAGGAGAUGAUCAGAGCCCUAGAGUGGAGCACUUAAAGGGUGAAAAAGAUGGUGUAUGAAAGGACUUCCAAAGCACAAACGUAUUUUUUGUUGGCUAUCGACAGGAAAUGACACUUUGCAUUUUUAUCUGAGACACAAACGGAACUGCCUUACUCUGUACUAGAAAGGAAAAUCAUGGAAACAACUCAGAAAUUACUUUCCUAAAUAUGAGGCUCCCUGGCUGCUCUUUGUGCGCCGAGGAUGCGGCUCCGGGCGGGGAGAGGCAGCACCCGCUCCCGCUGUGCUCGCAUCAGCCCGCGGUGCCUCUCGCCCAAGGGAAGUAAAACCAACCCCUCCACACACAAUGGGAAGCCCAGAGCAGAGUGGGAAUACCAGCACUACCUUAAUGCUACCUAAUGGAUAUCACCUCUGUGGAUUUAUGGAUCCCACUGAAUCUAAAGAAUGGAGGAGAAGUGAUGCAAUAGCCUUCACCCCUCAUUCUCUGGCUUGCUGGCACUGGGGCUGAAAGUAGAUUCUUCUCAUCCAAAUUCUGUCUGAAAGGAAUUUUAGCAUUCGUAUUUUCUCUAGGUAAAAUCAAAGUUAACCUCGGGUGAGAUUGUUUUAAAGAAGGAGAUGAAAUAAUGGAAGAAUUAACCCAAAAUUUUAACUCCACAACAUUUUCCUCUGAAGCAACAAAUGAAGACCUGUUACAAAUCCUACUGUGAAACACAAAGGUACAAUAUGUUGUAAAAAUGCUGAGUUACCUUGCAGCAUCUGUCUGGUGGUUGGAAGGCAGAAGGUCGUGCCUGAUGCAAACCUGAGCUCACAUGUGCCAUGACCCAAGUGCCCAGCCUGCAAGAAUUGUCUCAGCUCCCCAGAGCCAGGCCAUGCCAAGCUGUGCCACAUCUGGGCCCCACAUCUGCAUGGCAAAGAAACCUCCAUUGCCUUCCUGAGAGCUGUUUGUAGGCUCAUUAGAAUAAAUAAAUAAAUACACGGAGGAAGAAAAAAAGC
rnacentral:lncRNA from 1 species